GACGAACCGUGCGAACGUUGUUCGGAAUCACUGGGCUUAAAGGGUGCGUAGGCGGGCUCGUCAGUCGGGGGUGAAAUCCCACGGCCCAACCGUGGAAGUGCCUCCGAUACUGCGGACCUGGAGGGGGAUAGGGGCGUGCGGAACUUCCGGUGGAGCGGUGAAAUGCGUAGAUAUCGGAAGGAACACCGGUGGCGAAAGCGGCGCGCUGGAUCCCUACUGACGCUGAGGCACGAAAGCCAGGGGAGCAAACGGG
rnacentral:rRNA from 1 species